AUUGAACGCUGGCGGCAUGCCUUACACAUGCAAGUCGAACGGUAACUGGUCUUCGGAUGCUGACGAGUGGCGAACGGGUGAGUAAUACAUCGGAACGUGCCUAGUAGUGGGGGAUAACUACUCGAAAGAGUGGCUAAUACCGCAUGAGAUCUACGGAUGAAAGCAGGGGAUCGCAAGACCUUGUGCUAGUAGAGCGGCCGAUUGCAGAUUAGGUAGUUGGUGGGAUAAAAGCUUACCAAGCCGACGAUCUGUAGCUGGUCUGAGAGGACGAUCAGCCACACUGGGACUGAGACACGGCCCAGACUCCUACGGGAGGCAGCAGUGGGGAAUUUUGGACAAUGGGCGAAAGCCUGAUCCAGCAAUGCCGCGUGCAGGAUGAAGGCCUUCGGGUUGUAAACUGCUUUUGUACGGAACGAAAAGCCCUGGGUUAAUACCCUGGGGUCAUGACGGUACCGUAAGAAUAAGCACCGGCUAACUCCGUGCCAGCAGCCGCCGUAA
rnacentral:rRNA from 1 species